rnacentral:rRNA from 1 species
CUCUUGAUAAUUUUCAAGUAUCCUCUGCUCGAUGAAUCGUUUAAAUGGCCGCAGUACUUUGACUGUGCAAAGGUAGCAUAAUCACUUGUCUUUUAAUUGGGGGCUGGAAUGAAUGAGGGGACGAAAUCUAAACUAUCGGGCUACAAUAUGAAAUUGACAUAAAAGUUAAAAGGCUUUUAUAAUUCAAAGGGACGAUAAGACCCUGUAAAACUUUACUAUAGUUAAGUUAUCUAAGGUUAUUAGCUACAUUAUAGUUAAACUGGGGCGGUUGAGAUAUAAACAAUUAUAACAGAAAUAUGUUAAAUAAAAUUUUAGAACUCCUACUGGAAAUAAACAAGUUACUUUAGGGAUAACAGCAUAAUUCUCUCAGAGAGCCCUAAUUGGCGGGGGAGCUUAUGACCUCGAUGUUGAAUUGGAGUGUC